AAUCAAUGUAGAGUACCUAGUGUGCUUCAGGUAAUCUCUUGACAUUUUAAUGUUGAUAGAAUAUAACCUUGACCUACAAAGUAGACUGGUGGAGGCAGUUCCACCACCAGGGGAUACAGUCACUACAGCUGUAAGGGGACACCUGCAGCCUCCCCACCCCCUGGGCCACUGCUGUUUAGCAUAGUGAAGAAGGGGCCCAGAAGACUCAAUUUUCCAUCUCCUGCAAAUCCUUUUCAACUCUCGUGAGCCCCGGUUGUCAGAGCAUUGCUCUGGGUUACCACGGCAACACACCAAUGCAGCACACAAGAGACGAAGAGGACCUGCCAGAAGGGGAAAUUGGAGUCUCCAGUGCCCCCUCUUUUUUCUUAGGCUGUAAACUCAUCUCAUA